rnacentral:rRNA from 1 species
UACGUAGGGUGCGAGCGUUGUCCGGAAUUACUGGGCGUAAAGAGCUCGUAGGUGGUUUGUCGCGUUGUCCGUGAAAACUCACAACUCAAUUGUGGGCGUGCGGGCGAUACGGGCAGACUGGAGUACUGCAGGGGAGACUGGAAUUCCUGGUGUAGCGGUGGAAUGCGCAGAUAUCAGGAGGAACACCGAUGGCGAAGGCGGCUCUCUGGGACGGUACUGACGCUGAGACGCGAAGGCUAGGGGAGCGAACAGG